rnacentral:rRNA from 1 species
UGGGGAAUAUUGCACAAUGGGCGCAAGCCUGAUGCAGCCAUGCCGCUGUAUGAAGAAGGGCCUUCGGGUUGUGAAAUGUACUUUUCAGCGAGGAGGAAGGAUGUUUGUGGUUAAUAACCGCAGCAAUUGACGUUACUCGCAGAAGAAGCACCGGCUAACUCCGUGCCAGCAGCCGCGGUAAUACGGAGGGUGCAAGCGUUAAUCGGAAUUACUGGGCGUAAAGCGCACGCAGGCGGUCUGUCAAGUCGGAUGUGAAAUCCCCGGGCUCAACCUGGGAACUGCAUCCGAAACUGGCAGGCUAGAGUCUUGUAGAGGGGU